AUGUAUAUAUGCAUAUAUAUAUUGUUGUUGUUGUUGAGUCAUUUCAGUCCUGUGGGGCUCUUUGUGAUCUAUUUAGGGUAUUCUGGGCAAAGAUACUAGAGUGAUUUGUAAUUUCCUUCUCUAGCUUAUUUUUCAGAUGAUGAAACUGAGUCAAAAAGGUUAAGUGACUUAACAAGGGUCACACAGUUGGACAAUGUCUAUAACUCGAUUUGGACUCAGGUCUUCCUGACUCCAGGCCUGACUGUGCUCUCUGUCUGUGCCUCUGUCUCUCUCUCAAUUUCUCACUCUCUCUGUGUGUCUCCAUGUCUCUAUCUCUUUCAGUCUUUUUCUAUUCUCUCUCUUUCUCUCUCUUUCUCUGUGUCUGUUUCAAUCUCUCUCUCAAUUUCUCAGUCUCUCUUUCUCUCUGUCUCUCUCUCUGUCCUUUUCUGUCCUUCCCUCCCUCCUUCUCUCUCUUUCUCUCUCAAUUUCUCACUCUCUCUGUGUGUCUCCAUGUCUCUAUCUCUUUCAGUCUUUUUCUAUUCUCUCUCUUUCUCUCUCUGUCUUUCUCUUUCUCUGUGUCUGUUUCAAUCUCUCUCUCAAUUUCUCAGUCUCUCUUUCUCUCUGUCUCUCUGUCCUUUUCUGUCCUUCCCUCCCUCCUUCUCUCUCUUUCUCUCUCAAUUUCUCACUCUCUCUGUGUGUCUCCAUAUCUCUAUGUCUUUCAGUCUUUUUCUAUUCUCUCUCUCUUUUUUUCUGUCUUUCUCUGUCUCUGUCUCUCUCAAUCUCUCUCUCUCAAUUUCUCAGUCUCUCUCUCUGUCUCUCUCUGUCUUUUUCUGUCCUUUCCUCCCUCCUUCUCUCUCUCUCUCUCAAUUUCUCACUCUCUCUGUGUCUCCAUGUCUCUAUCACUUUCAGACUUUUUUCUAUUCUCUCUCUCUUUCUCUCUCUGUCUUUCUCUGUCUCUAUCUAUCUCCAUAUACACAUAUAUGCACAUUAAACAUUUUAAAAUAUCAUAAUAACCAAUAUACAUGCACAUAUGUAUUAUAUGUAUACACUAUACCUACGUGUAGAACACCUACACAUGUAGAUGCAUAUAAAUGUACAUUUAGUUAUAAGUAUAUUUGUGUAUAUACAUAUAUAAAGCUAUAUACUAACAUAAAUGCAUGUACAGACAUAUAGAAAUAUAUAUGUAGAUCCCAAAAUAUUUUUCCUUAUUCCUACAAUUGAAGAGUUUUUCCCCACAUUCAACAGUGACUAAUUAGCCCACAAUACAGUCCCCAUAAGAGGUGCCUAAUCACUAUUUUUGAAUGAGUGAGUAAAAAAAGAGAUACCAAGUAAAUUGCCCUCAGGCCUGCCACUGAUGCUAAAGAUGUUGGCUUAAAGCAUGUCUCUCUGUUAAGAUGAUAUAAUAUCUGGAAGUGAAAAGUAUUUAUUUUUAACAUUUAAAAAUUAGCAUAAUUUUUUUCCCUUUCAAGUAUAUGGCUAUUUUAGAUCAGAUUUGAUAGAGAGGAAGAUGGAGAGAUCCUAAACAAGUGGCAUUAUUUUGGAAAGGCAGGCUGAGGUCAAGGACAUAGAGCACUCAAGUAUAAUUCAGUCAAUAUUUACUAAUGUUUAUUAAGUUAUGCUACUGUGGUGUGUUAUGAGGAUACAAAUUUGGAAAACAAAAUGUUUCUUGCCCUCAGGGAAUUUAUAACCUAAUAAAGGAAAAAAGUCUUAUCUGAAAAAAAACA
ensembl:lncRNA